ensembl:lncRNA
UAUUUAAAAUAUUUCGCCGAUGACGCCAUUUUUUCUUCCACACAAAAAAAACAAAUCCCAGUUACUUAAAACUAGAAAUAUUUAAUUCAUAAUUCAAGUCAUAACAGGAAAUAGUAACAAAAACCAACCAGAUGUUGAAGAGAGUCCAGAGAUUUUCAGUUCAAAAUAAAAUAAAAAUGAAAUCACACAAUGAAAGUGAAGCAGUAAAUGUUGCGGAAUGAGGACUAAGUCUGUGUUUCAGUCUAACUGUAAAACACAUGUUGAUGUUUUCAGGACUAGUCCUUCUGUCGGGAGGCAGGCCCCAAAAAAUCUCUGAAAUGACAAAAACACAAAGGUCAGUUCUUUAAAUGUUCAUUUUCAUCUGAAAACAUCUUGAGCUUUAAGGUGACGUCAUACAGACUUUGAGGCGACGUCAUACAGGCUUUGAGGCGACGUCAUACAGGCUUUGAGGUGACGUCAUACAGACUUUGAGGUGACGUCAUACAGACUUUGAGGUGAC